GGAACUGUGGCUCAGUGGCAGAGUUUCUGCUUGGCCUGCAGGAGGUCCCAGGUUCAAUAUCUACCAUUUCUG
rnacentral:tRNA from 1 species